UCGUCCGUAAAGGUUCAGGGAACCAGGUGAUUGUGGAUGAAAGUCCUCGACUGUCAGACUUCUUUGAUCGUCAAGUAACAUUAAAAAAACCUUUGAUGUAUGUAUCAUUCCACUGCAGAGUGACUCAUACCUACAAAGAUGCAAACCAGAAGAUAUGGGACAUACCUAUGCAGAAUGUCUGCUGUGUUUCUUGGUGCAAACGCUACACCCAGCAGGGAAAAUUGUGAGUCAUCGAAGGGUUACAAGUUUUGUGGCUUCCUGUCGAAUGUGAUGGAAACUACCAAAAAGAAAAAGGAAAUGCUGCCACGAUAGAGACUGAGAAUCACCUUUCACCAACUUCAUCCUGUUGCAACACAGAUGACAAUAGCAGCUGGAAGAUGCCAACUAAUCAGGAUCUGUGCCUUCGAAUUCCUCUCUGAAAAGCAAGGGCCAAUUUUUUUUCACUUAAUUAUUGCACAAGAGCACCAUGUUAGCACCCUGUUUAAACUUCCAUCUUGAGUCACAGAGGUGCUAGCUUUAAAUUGAAACAAAUUGUUACUGAACACAGAAAAUUGGAAACAGUUUACAGGAUCUAACUUACUAUAAAAAAAUGGACAAAAAUCCCAUUAUGUAUUGAUCCUGCUAAGUAGUAUUUUGCAUGUAACUUCAUAACCUAUUUUUCAUCAUGUCAUAAAUUCAUACUGCAAUACAUGAUCAUGUUUCAUUGUUAAAAUGAGCACACAGUGUACAUUAUUUUAUUGUAUUUAUUUAAUUGCACAAUCUUGCACAGACAUAUAAAAUGAGGAGCUGAAAAGAGUUACUGGCUAGAAUACUGACUAGUCUAAGAAUGCUAGUCACAAACCUGGAGAUGCUAAAGGAUAUUACUGCUAGAAUUGUGACUUUAAUGACUAGCAAGGCUACCUAGGUUACAAAGGUAGGCUGGUGAAUUAUUUGCUUGCCCAGUAAAUACCUAAACUUGGUUAGUUCAUGAAAGGCUGGUUUAUCAGUAGUUAAAUCAUUUACUCGUUGUGACAUAGACAAGCUCCACCAUAUUGUCAACAGCUCCUCAAUACUCAAACUCCUCAAUAGUUUUAAGCUAAAAUUGUUCUGCAGACCUGAACUUUUCAACACGUCCUCAUAUAUUAACAUUUCUUUUACCUCCCUGCUACAAAGUGAAAAUAGCCCAUGUGAAAAUAGACUGGGCAUGUGUCCCGUAAAAUUAUAGUCUACAGCAUCCUGCUGUGAGCUGCAUGUGACAAAAAACAACUGUUUGGACAUCAUUUAACAGCAUUUUCAACAUUUCAUUUUUUUGAUGCAUGUCUUCUUGUGUAAACUGACUUAAAGGUGUGUUUUGGAUCUGCUUUUUCUUGUACUAAUCAAAUGUCCUGCAAGGGUUUGAAGAACUCAUAUUAGGAAAAUGCAAAUAAAUGGAAAUUAAA